UGUCUUGGCUGAUGCAACAUCCAAUAGGAAUUUGAUCAUAUAAUUCAAUAAGAAUUCAAUCAAUAGGAUUCUGAUCAACUGAACAAUAGUACUAGUUGAUUCGCAGCUUUUCUGAUAAAACAAUUGAAGAAUUCGAUACAGUAUUGACAUUAAUCAAGAGUGCUGGCUGAUGCAACAUCUAAUAGGAAUUUGAUCAUAAUUCAAUAGGAAUUCAAUCAAUAGGAUUCUAAUCAACUGAACAAUAGUACCAGUGGAUUCACAGCCUUUCUGGCAAAACAAUGGAAGAACUCGUUACAGUAUUGACAUUAAACAAGAGUCCUGGCUGACGCAACAUUCAAUAUGAGUUUGAUCAUAUUUGAAUUGAGAUUCAAUAGGAUUCUAAUCAACUGAACAAUAGAACUGAUGAUUAUCCACAGCUCCUGCGACAAUCCAGUAGUUGAAUUUUGAUAUAAAUACGGCCACCUCGACACUCAGCAAGUCAGAAGCUUCCGAGAUCAUCUUGCUGUUUCACAACAUUGACAGAUCUCCUCUCCAUCACAACAUUCAAGAUGAAGUUCCUCUACGUAGUUCUCGUAGCAUCUGCGUUGGUUGUCAUGAUGAUGUCUCCGGUUCUUGCCCUUCCCAAGCCCGGGGAAGUUGCUCUAAAAGGACGCAAAUGAUUUCUCAUUUUUCAAAUUUUUGUGUUUGUGUGUUCGAUUAUUGAAACAAUGUAAUGAAGGCGAUUGCUACUUGUGAAA